rnacentral:rRNA from 1 species
AUUGAACGCUGGCGGCAGGCCUAACACAUGCAAGUCGAGCGAGCGGCGGGCGGGUGAGUAAUGUAUGGGGACUGCCCGAUAGAGGGGGAUAACUACUGGAACCGGUAGCUAAUACCGCAUACUAUCGGAUAACCCAUAUGGGAUUAGCUGGUGGGUGAGGUAAUGGCUCACCCAGGCGACGAUCCCUAGCUGGUCUGAGAGGAUGAUCAGCCACACUGGGACUGAUACACGGCCCAGACUCCUACGGAGGCAGCAGUGGGGAAUAUUGCACAAUGGGCGCAAGCCUGAGACAGCCAUGCCGCGUGUAUGAAGAAGGCCCUAGGGUUGUAAAGUACUUUCAGUCGGGAGGCGUUACCGACAGAAGAAGCACCGGCUAACUCCGUGCCAGCAGCCGCGGUAAUUC